UGGGUUCGAUUCCGGAGAGGGAGCCUGAGAAACGGCUACCACAUCUAAGGAAGGCAGCAGGCGCGUAAAUUACCCAAUCCUAAUUCAGGGAGGUAGUGACAAGAAAUAACAAACCGGGUUCUUACGAACUUUGGGAUUGCAAUGAGCACAAUUUAAAUCUCUUAGCAAGGAACAAUUGGAGGGCAAGUCUGGUGCCAGCAGCCGCGGUAAUUCCAGCUCCAAUAGCGUAUAUUAAAGUUGUUGCAGUUAAAAAGCUCGUAGUUGAACUUCUGGGCGUCUGUACAGCGGCUCCGGUCGAGGUAUAGGCGUUCAUCCGUCUGAGAACCAUAUACGGCCUUUAGUGGUCGGUGUGAGGAUCAGGCACUUUACUUUGAAAAAAUUAGAGUGUUCCAGGCAGGCAAUCGCCUUGAAUACACAAGCAUGGAAUAAUGGAAUAGGACUAUGGUCCAUUUUGUUGGUUAUUGGGCUAUAGUAAUGAUUAACAGGAACGGCCGGGGUGAUUUGUAUUUAAUAGUCAGAGGUGAAAUUCUUGGAUUUAUUAAAGACAAACUAAAGCGAACGCUUUUCACAAGAGCGUUUUCAUUAAUCAAGAACGAAAGUUAGGGGAUCAAAGACGAUCAGAUACCGUCCUAGUCUUAACCAUAAACUAUUCCGACUAGGGAUUGGUCGGGUCUUUCAAGCCCGAUCAGCACCUUAUGAGAAAUCAAAGUCUUUGGGUUCCGGGGGGAGUAUGGUCGCAAGGCUGAAACUUAAAGGAAUUGACGGAAGGGCACCACCAGGAGUGGAGCCUGCGGCUUAAUUUGACUCAACACGGGGAAACUCACCAGCGCAAAACAUGGGUGGGAU
rnacentral:rRNA from 1 species